rnacentral:rRNA from 1 species
UACGUAUGUUCCAAGCGUUAAUCGGAAUUACUGGGCGUAAAGCGCGCGUAGGCGGCUGAUUAAGUCGGAUGUGAAAUCCCCGGGCUCAACCUGGGAACUGCAUACGAUACUGGUCGGCUAGAGUAUGAGAGAGGGAGGUAGAAUUCCACGUGUAGCGGUGAAAUGCGUAGAUAUGUGGAGGAAUACCGGUGGCGAAGGCGGCCUCCUGGCUUAAUACUGACGCUGAGGUGCGAAAGCGUGGGGAGCAAACAGG